UACUGCGGGCUCAGAAGGCAGGACUUAGGGAUGGCCUCCACCAUGGCCUGGUGCCCUCUCCUCUUCAGCCUCCUAGCUCACUGCACAGGUUCCUGGGCUCAGGCUGUGCUGACUCAGCCUCCCUCAGUGUCUGGGUCUCCAGGAGGGACAGUCACCAUCUCUUGCACUGGAAGCAGCAACAAUAUUGGAAACUAUUAUGUCAGCUGGUACCAGCAGCUCUCAGGAAUGGCUCCCAAACUCAUCAUCUAUGGGAAUAGCAAUCGACCAUCUGGGGUCUCUGGUCGGUUCUCUGGCUCCAAAUCUGGCAGCUCAGCCUCCCUGACCGUCAGUGGGUUGCAAUCUGAGGACGAGGCUGAUUAUUUCUGCCAGUCUUAUGAUAGCAGCCUCAGUGCUCACACAGUGCUCCAGCCCCAUGGUGAAGCUAACACAAAAGCUUCUUCCUCUUUUAUCAGGAGGGUGAAUCCCCAGGACCUGUGGCUCAGGCCUGGCCUGUGGUUUUCAUUUUUGCUAUCAGUGUAA